ACAGACCCUGAAUGGUGGAGGAGCUUACUCAACUCAACCGCAGACAGUUGGACCACGCACUCCCCGACAGUUUGUCAGCAAAACAACACCCCCACCGAGGCGCCAACUUACUAUCAACAAAACGUAAUUUAGUCGCACUGACGAAGGAAGACCAAGGCUCGCACAAGAAGCAGGCGAAAAACGAAAGAACGAGAUAUGGUGACGUCGCUGUCGGAAGGCUUCGGCUCGCCUCGGUGAUUUCCGGCGGAUUGAGUUAGUCGAGGGACAAAUGGAGAGCUACUUAGGAGUUCAAAAGUUCAUUGUCUUCAAUAAAGUCACAGAGUUGGCGCAGCUAUAAAAUAAUAAAGAAAACGGAAUUUCAGGGGGGAAAAAAAUGAAAGAAAUAACGGAAAUGAAGAAUAACAAUGUGGAAAUGGACACGAUUUAAUAAGUAAAGAAACACGUUUUUUUAUAUAAGCAAGUUAUUUGUUAGUUGCAAACGAUGUGGUCCACUCCUAAAAUAUUUUUAAAGUGCAAUUUUCAUUUGUAAAAAAAAAAUUAUUUCCUUUAGUUAAACAAGUGACAAGAAGAUGACGAAUAAAAUCAAAGACUGUUUAACGGCAGGGGUCGUUUAAGUUAAUUAUAUAAAACAAUAAAACCCAACAACAGAAACUAAAUCACGGCAUCUGUUAGGAUAAAAUAAGAAAUACAGUAUAACACCUUAGGACAAUUUAGCAGGUGGAGCCAGUAGCCCUACACUGCCCUCUUGUGGCUGUGAAUAGAAACUGUUCAUCGAGUGUGGAGGUGAUUUCAACCUGAGUAAAAUGGUAAAAAAAAAUGCUUUUAUUUUAGUUGGAAAUAUCAACAUGGGCCUUCAUUGAUACCUGCGUCCAUUCUUAUGGAGGUAAGACAAUUAAACCACUGUAUUUCCACCGAAAACACAGUUUCAGAGUACAAAUCUUAACAUUUGAUGUCAUGCUCAGACAAAGGCAGCAAACGACUUGAGUUUGAAGCAAAGACUCUUCUCCCAGCAGGACGAUUACCCUAAUUAUACAAUCAGAGCUAAAUUAAAUGGAAUAUAUUAAAACAUAUGCAUGUAAAAAUGGCCUAGUCAAAGUCCAGCCCUAAAUCCAAUUGUAAAUGUGUGGGUAGACAUGACAUAAAUACAGGAGCUCUCUAUCUAAUCUCACUGAUCUUGAGCUAUUUUGUAAAAAAAAAAAAAAAAAAACUAAGCUAGGCAAUAAAUUGUGCAAAGAUGAUAGAAAAAUACACUCAAAGGCUUGCAGCUGUAAUAAAAUUAAAUUGGCGACUCUACAGAGUUAUGACCCAGAGUGGCUAAAGACAAAUGCAAUAGCUUGAUUUUUUUGAAAACUGUGUAAGAUUUUCAUUUGACUUUUAAUUAUGCAGUCCUUUUUAUUAGUCUGUUACAUAAAAUCCCAAUUAAAUACAUUGGGAGUUGUAGUGUGACAAAAUGGGUAAAGGCUCAAGGGGUGUGAAUAAUUGUGCAUAGAACUUUGUGAUUUUGGAUCAAAAAAGGCCUUCGUGUCUACAGGUGCUACAAUUGAAUGUUUACUUUAAAAAGAUGCUGGUGUAAGAAAAAUAGGUGUGUCAAAACAACAAAGCCUUUUUCAUUAAAAUAAAAAUAAGAAAAGGGAAAAAAAUUUAAACAUUUUGAUUGAAAGUUGUAUUACAAAAACAAUCUGUGUGAAGCGUGUACAUAAAAGAACACAAACCAUCUGGUGAAAUAGAAAUUCUAUUAAAAAUGCAUUCAUUUUUAUUGAAAAAUACACUUAAAUCAUGCAGAUCACAUUCAAGAGAGCAGAUGUCUUUUCAGCGGCAGUGUAGAAAUGCAUAACCAGUACAUUGCACACAAUUGCUGUUUUGCUGAACUUCAUCUAGUUCUAUAGGAAAAAUGAUAUCACAAUGCAACACAGUAAAAAAUAAAAUAAAAAAUACAUGGAAUAUUUCAGAGAAGGUAAAAUACAUAAGCAAGGCUGCUUGGUGUUAUAGACAGGAUUAAGCAAAUGGACAGCGGAUAAGAAUAAAAAAAA